rnacentral:rRNA from 1 species
UACAGAGGGUGCGAGCGUUGUUCGGAAUUACUGGGCGUAAAGCGCGCGCAGGCGGCUCUUUAAGUCUCGUGGUCAAAUGCCGGGGCUCAACCCCGAGCGUGCCGGGGAUACUGGAGGGCUGGAGACAGGUAGAGGCAAGCGGAAUUCCUGGUGUAGCGGUGAAAUGCGCAGAUAUCAGGAGGAACACCGGUGGCGAAGGCGGCUUGCUGGGCCAGUUCUGACGCUGAGGAGCGAAAGCGUGGGGAGCGAACAGG